AUCUGAUGAUGGGGGCAGCUUGCACACAAUUUCUUAAAGCGUUCCCAAUAUUCAUGUAGGGACUCUCCAUUAUGCUGCCUUACACCACAAAUUUCUUUCCUGAUGUU